rnacentral:rRNA from 1 species
CCUACGGGAGGCAGCAGUGAGGAAUAUUGGUCAAUGGACGAGAGUCUGAACCAGCCAAGUAGCGUGAAGGAUGACUGCUCUAUGGGUUGUAAACUUCUUUUAUAAAGGAAUAAAACGAGGCACGUGUGCCUUUUUGCAUGUACUUUAUGUAUAAGGAUCGGCUAACUCCGUGCCAGCAGCCGCGGUAAUACGGAGGAUCCGAGCGUUAUCCGGAUUUAUUGGGUUUAAAGGGAGCGUAGAUGGGUUGUUAAGUCAGUUGUGAAAGUUUGCGGCUCAACCGUAAAAUUGCAUUUGAUACUGGCAGUCUUGAGUGCAGUUGAGGUAGGCGGAAUUCGUGGUGUAGCGGUGAAAUGCUUAGAUAUCACGAAGAACCCCGAUUGCGAAGGCAGCUUACUAAACUGUGACUGACAUUGAUGCUCGAAAGUGUGGGUAGCAAACAGGAUUAGAUACCCGUGUAGUC